UGGAAAUGAUGAAAUAGAGAUAACUGGGUGUCAAAUGUUGUAUGAUUGGAAAUUUUUAAUAUGUAAGUUAAGAGAUUAAUCUAAGUUUUAAAAAAAAGAGCAUCGUAAAAUUACACUCCAA